UUUCAUUUAUUUUCAGCUGCGGGUCUUCGUUGCUGCAGGAGGGCUUUCUCUAGUUGUGGCGAACAGUUCUCUAGCUGCAGUGUGCGGGCUUCUCGCUGUGGUGGCUCCAUGCAGAGCAUGGGCUCUAGCAGCUCAGGCUUUUGUAGUUGCGGCACAUGCGUUGAGUUGCUCCACAGCACGUGGUAUCUUUCUGAGCCAGGCGUCGAAUUUGUGUCAUCUGCAUGGGCAGGUGGAUUCUUAACCACUGGACCACCAGGGAAGUAAGUCCCAGGGCCCUCAAAACCCACUUAUGAUGGGAAAAAAAAAAUCUCCAGAAAGUGGGCAUAGGGGGAACCUGCCUCCACGUAAUAAAGAGCAUAUAUGACCAACUUCCCUGGUGGCUCAGACGGUAGAGUCUGCCUGCAGUGCUGGAGACCCGGGUUCAAUCCCCUGGAGAAGGAAAUGGCAACCCACUCCAGUAUUCUCGCCUGAGAAUCCCCUCGAUGGAAGAACCUGGCGGGCUACAGUCCAUGGGGUCGCAAAGAAUCAGACACGACUGAGCAACUUCACUUCACUUUCACGACAAACCCACAGUUAACAUCAUUCUCAAUGGUGAAAAGCUGAGAUCAUUUCCCUCUAAGAUCACGAACAAGACAAGGAUGUCCACUCUCACUGAGGCAGAAGUUAUAAUGAGCCCCAGGCUGAGCAGCUGGAAUCUGUCCUCUGUGAACAGAUACACCAGGAUAAAGAUAAUGGCAGCAGCAAGGAGGAGCUGAGUCCUUUCUGGAGAGAAGAAAAAGGGACCACACAUUUCUCAGUCUUGAGGUCAAGGAGACCUCCCAAACUACACAUACACAGAAAGGUUCCUCAGAGGUCAAGGAAAGCAGGGAGCACCAGACCAUAAUAUGUUCUUUUUCCCAGAAACCGUUGCACUGGAAUCCAUCUUGGCUAAAAGGUGUGCAAGCAGGAGGAGAGGACCCUGAGGUGGAUCAGACAUGGACUCAGAGCUAGACAAGGCAAGAUGACUGGCCAGAGGGAACCCAGAACCGACCCACAUGAUCUAGGGUCUUGAAACUGGCCACCGGCCCUCCUGGUCUAGUGGCGAGGAUUCGGUGCUCUCACUACCGCAGCCUGGCUUCAGUCCCUGGUUGGGGAACUGAGAUCCCACUUCAGGCUGUGGCAGGUGGAAGCCACCCAAGAUCAUUUUUGGUACCAAAAGACUUGUAAACCCUGGGAAAUGGGUGCUCUAUUAGACCUGGAAAGAUGACUUCCCUGACCACCAUCCACUUCCAAAUGAAAGCGAACUGACCAAGUCCUGCUGAGCCCUGGACAGCAGCGACACUGCAGGGAGCCACUAGCUGGGUUCACCUGUCCAGGAUUAAACCUGCCUCCACUGAUAUGUUACAGGAAUCCAAAGACUCACGUUAAACUCUUCUGUGAAUUCCCCACUUCCCCUGAGACCCCACGGGACAUGGAGGACCCUGGACAACCUGAAAACUCCAGGUGGAUUUUUUGAGUGAGCCUCUCCAAGACUUAAAGCUCUUGUUCAGGAAGGAUAAAUAGGGACUUCCCUGGUGGUCCAGUGGUUA
ensembl:lncRNA